rnacentral:rRNA from 2 species
ACUUAAAUUGAAGAGUUUGAUCAUGGCUCAGAUUGAACGCUGGCGGCAGGCCUAACACAUGCAAGUCGAGCGGUAGCACAGAGAGCUUGCUCUCGGGUGACGAGCGGCGGACGGGUGAGUAAUGUCUGGGAAACUGCCUGAUGGAGGGGGAUAACUACUGGAAACGGUAGCUAAUACCGCAUAACGUCGCAAGACCAAAGUGGGGGACCUUCGGGCCUCAUGCCAUCAGAUGUGCCCAGAUGGGAUUAGCUAGUAGGUGGGGUAAUGGCUCACCUAGGCGACGAUCCCUAGCUGGUCUGAGAGGAUGACCAGCCACACUGGAACUGAGACACGGUCCAGACUCCUACGGGAGGCAGCAGUGGGGAAUAUUGCACAAUGGGCGCAAGCCUGAUGCAGCCAUGCCGCGUGUAUGAAGAAGGCCUUCGGGUUGUAAAGUACUUUCAGCGAGGAGGAAGGCGUUAAGGUUAAUAACCUUGGCGAUUGACGUUACUCGCAGAAGAAGCACCGGCUAACUCCGUGCCAGCAGCCGCGGUAAUACGGAGGGUGCAAGCGUUAAUCGGAAUUACUGGGCGUAAAGCGCACGCAGGCGGUCUGUCAAGUCGGAUGUGAAAUCCCCGGGCUCAACCUGGGAACUGCAUUCGAAACUGGCAGGCUAGAGUCUUGUAGAGGGGGGUAGAAUUCCAGGUGUAGCGGUGAAAUGCGUAGAGAUCUGGAGGAAUACCGGUGGCGAAGGCGGCCCCCUGGACAAAGACUGACGCUCAGGUGCGAAAGCGUGGGGAGCAAACAGGAUUAGAUACCCUGGUAGUCCACGCCGUAAACGAUGUCGACUUGGAGGUUGUGCCCUUGAGGCGUGGCUUCCGGAGCUAACGCGUUAAGUCGACCGCCUGGGGAGUACGGCCGCAAGGUUAAAACUCAAAUGAAUUGACGGGGGCCCGCACAAGCGGUGGAGCAUGUGGUUUAAUUCGAUGCAACGCGAAGAACCUUACCUACUCUUGACAUCCAGAGAACUUAGCAGAGAUGCUUUGGUGCCUUCGGGAACUCUGAGACAGGUGCUGCAUGGCUGUCGUCAGCUCGUGUUGUGAAAUGUUGGGUUAAGUCCCGCAACGAGCGCAACCCUUAUCCUUUGUUGCCAGCGAUUCGGUCGGGAACUCAAAGGAGACUGCCAGUGAUAAACUGGAGGAAGGUGGGGAUGACGUCAAGUCAUCAUGGCCCUUACGAGUAGGGCUACACACGUGCUACAAUGGCAUAUACAAAGAGAAGCGACCUCGCGAGAGCAAGCGGACCUCAUAAAGUAUGUCGUAGUCCGGAUUGGAGUCUGCAACUCGACUCCAUGAAGUCGGAAUCGCUAGUAAUCGUAGAUCAGAAUGCUACGGUGAAUACGUUCCCGGGCCUUGUACACACCGCCCGUCACACCAUGGGAGUGGGUUGCAAAAGAAGUAGGUAGCUUAACCUUCGGGAGGGCGCUUACCACUUUGUGAUUCAUGACUGGGGUGAAGUCGUAACAAGGUAACCGUAGGGGAACCUGCGGUUGGAUCACCUCCUUACCUUAAAGAA